rnacentral:rRNA from 1 species
UACGUAGGGUGCGAGCGUUGUCCGGAAUUAUUGGGCGUAAAGGGCGCGUAGGCGGCUUGGCAAGUGGAAGGUGAAAUCCCUCGGACUUAACCGAGGAACGGCCCUCCAAACUGCUUUGCUUGAGGCCGGGAGAGGCGAGUGGAAUUCCAGUGUACGCGGUGAAAUGCGUAGAUAUUGGGAGGAACACCAGUGGCGAAGGCGGCUCGCUGGACCGGUUCUGACGCUGAGGCGCGAAAGCGUGGGGAGCAAACGGG